AACGUAGGAGACAAACGUUAUCCGGAGUUACUGGGCGUAAAGGGCGCGUAGGCGGCCUGCUAAGUCGAACGUGAAAUCCCUGGGCUCAACCCAGGAACUGCGUCCGAUACUGGUUGGCUUGAAUCCGGGAGAGGGAUGCAGAAUUCCAGGUGUAGCGGUGAAAUGCGUAGAUAUCUGGAGGAAUACCGGUGGCGAAGGCGGCAUCCUGGACCGGCAUUGACGCUGAUGAGCGAAAGCUAGGGGAGCAAACGGG
rnacentral:rRNA from 1 species